GACGUAGGAUGCAAGCGUUGUCCGGAUUUAUUGGGCGUAAAGCGUUCGUAGGUGGUAAUUUAAGUCUGGUGUUAAAUAAUAGAGCUUAACUCUAUCUCAGCACUGGAAACUAGAUUACUAGAGUUAGGUAGGGGUCAGAAGAAUUCCUGGUGUAGCGGUGAAAUGCGUAGAUAUCAGGAGGAAUACCGGUGGCGAAAGCGUCUGACUGGGCCUAUACUGACACUGAGGAACGAGAGCUAGGGGAGCAAAAGGG
rnacentral:rRNA from 1 species